rnacentral:pre_miRNA from 2 species
UUAUGAUAUCAUUGUCACUGCUGACCGCUCAUACAAUCCAUGUGAUUGCUUUGUAGUUUAUGCGGGGAUUGUAUGACGGUCAGCAGAGACGUUUGAUAUCAAAUA